UUGAAAAAUUUUUAUUUUAAAAGAAAAAUUAAUUAUUUGUACCUUGUGUAUCAGGGUUUAUUAAAUAAUUAAUAAAUAUUAUUAUUAAUUUCGAUUUUAUAAGAGUUAAUAAUUUAUUAAAGUUAAUGUAUCAAAAUUAUUUUUUAUAAAUUAUUAGAAAUGAAAUGUUAUUCGUUUAUAAAGAUAUCUAGUUUUUUUAGAAAUAAAUUUAAUUUAAAAAUUUUUAAUUUUAUUAAUUAAUUUAUUAAUUAAUAAAUUUAUUAAUUUUAAUAUUUUAAGGGAUAAGCUUUAAAAUAAAUUUUUAAAAAUUAAUUAAAUAAUAAUUAAAAUUAUAUGCAUAAAAUUAGUAAUUAUUAAAAAUUUUGUUAUAAAUUAUUUUAUUAAAUAUAUUAUUUAUUAAAAUUUUAAUUUUUUUAUGAAAAUAUUUUUUUUAGUUUAAUUUGAAAAGUAAUAAUGAUAAAAUUAGUAUAUAUAUAUAUAUAUAAAUAAUUUGUUUUGAUAGGUUUAUUUAAAGAACUCGGCAAAUAUUUUACUCGCCUGUUUAACAAAAACAUGUCUUUUUGUGUUAUUUUUAAAGUCUAACCUGCCCAAUGAAUAAAUUUUAAUGGCCGCAGUAUUUUGACUGUGCAAAGGUAGCAUAAUCAAUAGUCUUUUAAUUGAAGGCUUGAAUGAAUGGUUGGACGAAGUAUAAUCUGUUUCAUUUAAAUUUAUUAUAGAAUUUUAUAUUUUAGUAAAAAAGCUAAAAUAUUUUUAAAAGACGAGAAGACCCUAUAAAUCUUUAUAGUUUAUAUUAUUUUUAUUUUUUAGAUUUAUUUUAUUUAAAUAAUUUAAAUUAUUUUGUUGGGGUGAUAUUAAAAUUUAAUAAACUUUUAAUUUAAUUUAUUUCAUUAAUUUAUGUUUUAUUGAUCCAUUAAUAAUGAUUAAAAGAAUAAGUUACUUUAGGGAUAACAGCGUAAUUUUUUUGGAGAGUUCUUAUUGAUAAAAAAGUUUGCGACCUCGAUGUUGGAUUAAGAAAUAAUUUUAGGUGUA
rnacentral:rRNA from 1 species